UACGGGGGGAGCAAGCGUUGUUCGGAUUUACUGGGCGUAAAGGGCGCGUAGGCGGCCACCGCAAGUCGGUUGUGAAAUCUCUGGGCUUAACCCAGAAAGGUCAACCGAUACUGCGGGGCUAGAGUGCAGAAGGGGCAACUGGAAUUCUCGGUGUAGCGGUGAAAUGCGUAGAUAUCGAGAGGAACACCUGCGGCGAAGGCGGGUUGCUGGGCUGACACUGACGCUGAGUGAGCGAAAGCCAGGGGAGCAAACGGG
rnacentral:rRNA from 1 species